AAGCGUUUCCAACUCGCCGAAUCAUUACUAGUGCAGGCAUUUUAUUCUAAGCUGCUUUUUACUAAAACGUGCUCUUGUCGCUCUGAACCUUUAGGACUACAAUACCCAGAAGUCUCUGGGAGUCGCCGAGCCCUGUAGUUUAGGGUUGUUUUGCGGCCAGCGAGACGCCGGAAGUCUGGGAAUAAGGCGGGACCAGGGAAAAAGCAGGAUUCCGAUUGGUGAAGAGGCCACAUGGCCUUCUUUAAAGGACGGGAUAGAGUUGCACACGCGCAUUGAGGCGUGUCUUCCCUGGUUCUGCGUCCGUGAAGCCUAGAGAUUCCCGAGCCUGGGUCACCCGGGCGGUGUCGCAUGUCGUCUGCGGGGAGGUUGGGGCUGCUCGCGCGAGGCGCUCUGGGUCUCAUUUCCGAGGCCGAAAAUGCUGGCUCCAAAGUGGUGCCCUGGGAGAUGAGGGCGACUCGCAGAUUCCACCCUAUUCUCUGAAUGGGCUUCGAGUCUCCAUGGUGGUGGUUGUGAGAAUUAAGGGAACCUCAGAGCAAUGGCCAGCACACAAUGACCCUUCAAAUGUCAGCGGCUUUGAUGAUCACCAUUCUUACCUUUUCUUUGGAGAUUUGGACAAGUUACCGCCCCACCUUCCUCCAGGGUCUUUGUGUAUUGAUCUGCAGGUUGGAUGUAUUGGAUGUUACGACCACUAAACUUUCUUCUGAGCACACACGAGCAGUGGUGUUGUUCUCUCUGAGAAAUACUACAGGCUUUGGUGUUAAGACACUGGAAUUCCGGAAACCUGUCCCUGUCAUACCAGUUGCUGUGUGACCUCCGUCAAUCAUGGUUCUUUACUGAGCCCUGAGACUCCGCACGUGAAAAUGGAUGGGGAUGAACUUCCAGUCCAGGCAGUGCCACUGACUUUGCUUGGGGACCUGGGGCAAGCUCUGUGGCCCAGCAUUGCACCAUCUGUAACAACAUAACCAAGGGGUGCGCAAUUGAGCUUUGAGGUUAAUUUCGGUGCUAAAAUCCCGGUCAGUAGUUCCGUCAUCUUCACAGACCUCACCCUACCCAAUGCCCUUAUUGUGCUCCACAUCCCAAUCAACACUUACUGAUUCCAGAUUUGUAAUUUUUGCCAUUGUAGUGAGAAGUAAUUAACUAUUUUAUGGUUUUUUAAAUUUGAAUUUUUGACUAUCAGGAUUAGCAUAUUUUUUUUUUCUUCGUUAAAGACUAGUCAAGUGCAUUAGUGAGGAGGGGGGAAAGAGUAGACCAAGGAAUUUGGUCUGUAACUGACUGUGGACAAUACAUUGGUAGAACUCACUACCUUUGAGCCAGCCAGAAUCUUUUUAUUAUUCACUGGAUAUUCAGGUUUUGCCUCUGUAAAUUUUCUUUCAUUGCCAUUUUUUUCAAAUAGUUCAUUCAAUCUUUGUUUUCAGAUGUGCUUUCCACAAUCAGGUUACAAAUUCUCUGCCACUAAUGAUCAUUACAAUUCCUCUUCUCAGCCUGUUUAUUGUUUGGUCUGUUUAUGGUUUCUCAGGCUUCUUAUUUAUUUAUUUAGACAGAGUCAUGCUCUGUUUUCCAGGCUAGAGUGCAGUGGUGUGAUCUUGGCUCACUGUAGCCUUGACCUCCUGGGCUUAAGCAAUCCUCCCACCUCCGCCACCUGAGUAGCUGGGACUACAGGCGCAUGCCACCACCUGCAGCUAAUUUCUGUAUAUUUUGUAGAGAUGGGGUUUUGCCACAUUGCCCAGGCUGGUCUCGAACUCCUGGGCUCAAGCGAUCCAGCCGCCUUGGCCUCCAGAGUGCUGGGAUUACAGGUGUGAGCCACCAUGCCUGGACUAGGCUUCUUUAAACAUUGAAUAGUGUUCCUUUCUAGAUGAAGGAGGAUCACAUAGCACUUGGGAGCAAAGAUGCAGCCAAGUAACCCAGUGCUGGAGCCCACGAUGGAGAAGAUCUCACGGCCACUCUGGCCUUGCCCUGGGUGCUUUAGUAACUCGGGAGGAAGGCCACCCAGACACUGCAGGACACCAGCAUGCUGAAGGUCAGGAACUUGGCUUCGUUGAAAGCAUCAGGCAGGUUCCUUGCCAGAAAGGCUACAGCAAGGGACCCUAAAACCAAGAAGCCCAAGUAGCCCAAGACAGAGUAGAAGGCAGUGACGGAGCCCUCAUUACACUGGAUAAUGAUGUAGCCAGGCAUGAACUGAGGGUCCUUGUUUACGAAGGGAGGCUCUGUCCCCAGCCAGAUUCCACAGAGGGUCACUUGGGUAAAGGAGCAAAGGAAGACAACAGAAUUUGUUUUUUGGGGACCCAUCCACUUUCGGAUCCUGCUUUCUGGCCUUAUAGCCUGGAAGGCCCUGCAGAAAACACAGCCACUGUGAACACAGCUGCAAAGGUGGUCUGUGAGAGGAGGCAGGUGGCAGGGCUGGGGCGGCCGAUGAAGAGCGAGGAAGAGAGAAAGCAGAGUGUGAGGGAGACAAGGAGGGUGUAGCUCAGAGUCUGGUUGCUGGCCUUGACUAUGGGAGUGUUUUGGUGCCACACAAACUCCACAAGGAUCAGAACAGAGAGGACAGAGUAGAACAAGGCUGUGCAUGCCAGAGUCAGGCCCAAAGUUUCAUCAUAGGCCAGGAAGGUCUCCUAUUUGAGAAGGUAUGUUCCCUUUUCUUGUUUGGAUAAUGAUAUUCAGGACAAAGCCUGCAUUGUUUUAUAUCUGAAAUAAACAAAAAGGGUGUCACUGUCUCCAAAA